AUAUUGCUCAAUGGGCGCAAGCCUGAAGCAGCGACGCCGCGUGGGCGAUGAAGGUCUUCGGAUCGUAAAGCCCUUUUCUGCGUGACGAGGAAGGACGGUAGCGCAGGAAUAAGUGUCGGCUAACUACGUGCCAGCAGCCGCGGUAAAACAAAGGACGCGAACGUUAUCCGGAAUUACUGGGCGUAAAGAGCGUGUAGGCGGUUUGGUAAGUCAACCGUGAAAGCUCCCGGCUAAACUGGGAGAGGUCGGCUGAGACUGUCAGACUAGAGGGUGUUAGAGGGAUGCGGAAUUCCGGGUGUAGUGGUGAAAUGCGUAGAGAUCCGGAGGAACACCAGAGGCGAAGGCGGCAUCCUGGGACAUUACUGACGCUGAGACGCGAAAGCAUGGGGAGCGAAC
rnacentral:rRNA from 1 species